GCCUCCUUAGCUCAGUGGUAGAGCGUUGCACUUGUAUGUAGUAUAGUAGAAGUAAGCAUGAUAUCUCCUUAUACAAUGCAAAAGCCAGCCGUUCAAUCCGGCUAGGAGGCA